UCAGUGGAGAGAAGAGCAGGAUUGGCUGGAGGUGGAUUCUUCCCUCACAAAGGUGGGCGUUGAUAUCACUGGCCGUCAGCUCGCACUUAGGGAUCGGUCUCACUCUGACGCUGUUCUGCUGGGCCGGUGGCUAGGUGAGGACCCCCGAGGGCUGGAAGUAGAUAUCGGAGUGGCAAAGAUGCCAAUGAAACGGCCCCACUCCCACAGGAGGCUCAAGCGCCCGAUCAGGGGCCACAAUCGGCCACGAAAUACAUCACCUGGGAACCCGGGACCUGCGCCAAGGGUCUGUCGGAUUCUGCCACCCAGAAGGAGAAGGAUUCCUCCCCCACCUGUGGAGAUCAGCCUCAAGUAUGUCACGAAGAUCAUCUCCCUUCUGCAAACUGUCUGAAGAAGAGGAAAAUGAGGCCAUAAGCCAAAUCAAAUUGUCUGUAAAAAUGAUGCCACAAAUAUAGGAGAACUUUGUCACCACAAUUCUUUCAUCAGAAGUCUCAGUGGCUA